CAGUCAGUCAGUAUAUCAGUCAGUCAGUCAGUAUAUCAGUCAGUCAGUCAGUCUGUCUAUCAGUCAGUCAGUAUAUCAGUCAGUCAGUCAGUAUAUCAGUCAGUCAGUCAGUCAGUCAGUAUAUCAGUCAGUCAGUCAGUCAGUCAGUCAGUAUAUCAGUCAGUCAGUAUGUCAGUAUAUCAGUCAGUCAGUAUAUCAGUCAGUAUGUCAGUAUAUCAGUCAGUCAGUCAGUCAGUCAGUAUAUCAGUCAGUCAGUCAGUAUAUCAGUCAGUCAGUCAGUCAGUAUAUCAGUCAGUAUAUCAGUCAGUCUGUCAGUAUAUCAGAUAGU